UACGUAGGGUGCAAGCGUUAAUCGGAAUUACUGGGCGUAAAGCGUGCGCAGGCGGUUCGCUAAGACAGAUGUGAAAUCCCCGGGCUUAACCCUGGGAACUGCAUUUGUGACUGCAUGGCUGGAGUGCGGCAGAGGGGGAUGGAAUUCCGCGUGUAGCAGUGAAAUGCGUAGAUAUGCGGAGGAACACCGAUGGCGAAGGCAAUCCCCUGGGCCUGCACUGACGCUCAUGCACGAAAGCGUGGGGAGCAAACAGG
rnacentral:rRNA from 1 species